rnacentral:misc_RNA from 1 species
CAUCUUUGUAUGUAUCCAAUAAAGACAACUUCGUAGCAAUACACUUCUCAUAUUUUCUAAUGGCAAUUGCAGAAGUUUAACAAAAAUGAGAGCUAUAUGUGUACUUUUAUCUACAUAUGAUCCUCUUCCAAAACUGUAACAAUUAUAGAAGCAUUGAAACGAGUUUGGGUGUCAAACCUGUUUCCUGACACGUGUGUGUGUAUGACUAUACUCCCUAUAAAUAUAGAUGAUGCAAAAUUAUUGGCCGUGAGCUUCAUGAUCAUAUUUCUUGCACAGUUGAACAAUACAAAAACAAAAAUGGAUCAACAACCAACUUUUCAGCCACUUGUCAAUUCUUCUUCGCUAUCUUCGCUGUCAUCACUAUGUUCAGGGAACUUUGAAAGCCGUCUUGCAUCCAAGCCCGUGAUAAACUUUUGAGCAGCCUGAACAUUUUCUGCACCCUUUGUCAACUGGAAGGUGUGCAGGGCACAUCUUUCUGCUGCUAGCCUCACUGGAGUACUACUGUCCUUCAAACAUUCAGCGAGUGCAGGGCCAAUAAUAGAAACAUAGGCCAUAAUAGAUGAAGGACUAGCUUUUGCAACAAUUUUUAGAGCAGAUAAUGCUCUUCUUCUGACUUCACUGGAGUCAUCACGCAAAGCUGACACUAUAGAUGAAAUGAGAUCCGUGUAUGCAGAGGUUUUUGAAGGAUCCCUUUGAAUUUGAUGAAGAAGCAGCCUUCCUAAUGCCUUGGUUGAAGUUUCACGAAGAGGGAACUUCUCAUCUUGCAAGCCAUCCUUAAGGCAGUCUACCAAAGAUGGGAAUUCUGCAGAAGUAAUAACAGAGGAAGGAUUGUGCCUUAGCAAGGACGAGAUAGUGAGUACUGCGCCAUGCCUAGAAACCCAGCUCGAAGAAGAAGCCAAAUUUGAGAGUUGCUGAAGCAGGUCAAUGAGUUGAGCAGCUUCCAUGUACUGUGAUGUGAUACCCAAUAUGCUAGCAGCAGAAAUUCGAACUUGGUCAUCAUCAUGAUGAACCAAAUCGUUCAGUUGACUAUAAACACGAAUUUUGACAGCACUGCUCACACUCUUCCCAGCAUGCUUCAGGACACCUUUUAAAGCCAUGAGGAUAGCCUCCCGCACACCAGCAUCCGAUGCCUGCAGACUGGACAGGAGGUCACUGACUAGAGGAUCAACCCUAGAACUAAGUGCACUAAGCUUCCCAAGUGCAAGGGCGGCACUUGUACGAACCGUCCUUGUGUUAUCUUGCAGACACUUGAUAAAUGUUGUUUGAAGCUGGGGAAGAAACGGUUUCAGGGCCAACCCACCUUUUCUUAUUAUGAUGCUCAAGGUAGACAAAAUGGCACUCUUCACUUGCCAAGGGAAACGAUCACCUAUGAUCCGGAUAAGAGGCCCUGUGACUGGGAUGACAAAUUCCUUAAGUGCUUGUUCACUGGUUACUUCAAUAAGCUCCCCAAGGCCCAAUGCUGCCUGCUCUCUUAAUUCAGCAGAGCCGCUAAUUAAGCCUUGCAGAAAAAUUGGAAGCAAAGGCUGAAGAGCCUUUGGAAGACAGAAACCAGGAAUUAGAACUGGUCCUCCCUUCUUCUUCCUACGUUCUUUAUCUCUGGAUGUGGAGACAGCAUCGCGCACCACUUUUAUAUAAGAAGGAAGUACCUCCUUAGGAACUGAGCUAACAACCCUUGAUAAGGCUUCCCAAGCAGCCGUAACAGUUGUGGAAUCUGUAUCGCUAAGCAAAACAAUCAGUGUAGACAUCAUGUUUGGAGCUUCAUCAACCAAAUAUAGCUUGCUGUUUUUGAAGAAGUAUCCUAUCAGAUAUGACGAACUUCUCCUAACAGAAGCCAUGCUAUCUCCAACACCUUUAAGAAGCUCCGCUAUCAAAUACUCAACACCUUCCUCAUCUAUGACCAAGACCACUGUUUCUGCAGCCUGCUUUGCCAAAGUUUGAACAUCCUUGUCCUCGCCACCCAUUGCAGAUAGUAACGCAGGGAGAACAGUACCAAGAUGAACAUUAAGCCCAGGUCCCGCAACCUCCGCUAAUGCCCCUAGAGCAUGUGCAUUGAAGGCAGAGAGGGGAAGGUGGACCAGCUUGGGCAAAAUAUGGGGCAAUACAGCAGCAGUCCUAACACUUAAAAUUUGUUUGAGGCCAUCAAGAGCAGUAUCGGAGGUCUCGUCAUCCUCCAGAGCAAGCAGAAGUGUUGGAACAAUUUCAUCAAUUGCAUGCAUUCCAGCACUCUUGUACAGAGUGCUGAACGCUAAGCCUGCAGACUCACGAACCUCACGAGUGCUAUCACAAAGGGCAGUCCUAAUAGUGGGGAUGAGCUCGUCCAUGAAACUUAAUAACUGACUCUUCCCAGCACUUGCCAUUACUUCACUCAGACCAAUGCAUACACCCUGUCUUCUGCUAGCAUCAGGAUCCUUCAGCCCCUUGGACAAGAUUGGGAUUAUCAAAGGAAGUACUCUUUCACCCAGCUUCCGAACAAGUUCACCCAAUGACCGUCCAGCAACCUGCCGUCUUUCAGAUGAUGAUGAAGCAAGGGAGGAUAUCAGGGUAUUCAUCAAAACUGGCAUGAUUUCUUUAAGAGUCUUUGGAGUAUUUGCCACGAUAGUUUUCCAUACAUGUAAGGCAGCCUGACGCACGGAUAAGCUCACAUCAGUCCUAACCAUAUAUAGUGCAGCAAGAACUUCAUUACGCUUGUCUCUUCCUAAAACCUCAAUAAUUGCACGCCCAUGUGCUUCUGUGCUAGCACCUUCAUCAUCACUACCACCCUCAAGCAAAGCUUUUCCAGAAGUUCCAGCAACCUUAAAUAAGAGAUCUCCCAAUAAUUCCACAGAGCUUUGUCGGAUACGCCAAUUAUCAUUAAAAAUGCCAUCCUCAACAGCUGGAAGGAGAAGAGGCAAGGACGUUGUUGCAUAGUGCUCGACAAGGACAUGUCCAGCACCUAAUGCUGCAUCUCGCACUGAUUCAUUCUCAUCAGCAAGACCAUCCAAGAUAG